AUCGGUGACAGGUGUGCAUGGUUGUCGUCAGCUCGUGUCGUGAGAUGUUGGGUUAAGUCCCGCAACGAGCGCAACCCCUAUUGUUAGUUGCCAUCAUUCAGUUGGGCACUCUAGCGAGACUGCCGAUAAUAAACCGGAGAAGUGGGGAUGACGUCAAAUCAUCAUGCCCCUUACGACCUGGGCUACACACGUGCUACGAUGGUUGGUACAACGAGUUGCGAGUCGGUGACGGCGAGCUAAUCUCUUAAAGCCAAUCUCAGUUCGGAUUGUAGGCUGCAACUCGCCUACAUGAAGUCGGAAUCGCUAGUAAUCGCGGAUCAGCACGCCGCGGUCGAAUACGUUCCCGGGCCUU
rnacentral:rRNA from 1 species